ACGCACGCUGGCGGCGUGCUUCACACAUGCAAGUCGCACGGAAAGGCCCUGCUUUUGUGGGGUGCUCGAGUGGCGAACGGGUGAGUAACACGUGAGUAACCUGCCCUUGACUUUGGGAUAACUUCAGGAAACUGGGGCUAAUACCGGAUAGGAGCUCCUGCUGCAUGGUGGGGGUUGGAAAGUUUCGGCGGUUGGGGAUGGACUCGCGGCUUAUCAGCUUGUUGGUGGGGUAGUGGCUUACCAAGGCUUUGACGGGUAGCCGGCCUGAGAGGGUGACCGGCCACAUUGGGACUGAGAUACGGCCCAGACUCCUACGGGAGGCAGCAGUGGGGAAUAUUGCACAAUGGGCGGAAGCCUGAGGCAGCAACGCCGCGUGCGGGAUGACGGCCUUCGGGUUGUAAACCGCUUUCGCCUGUGACGAAGCGUGAGUGACGGUAAUGGGUAAAGAAGCACCGGCUAACUACGUG
rnacentral:rRNA from 1 species